GAUGAACGCUAGCUACAGGCUUAACACAUGCAAGUCGCAGGGUAACAUGAGGAAAGCUUGCUUUCCUUGAUGACGACUGGCGCACGGGUGAGUAACGCGUAUCCAACCUUCCCAUAACUACGGGAUAACCCGUUGAAAGACGGCCUAAUACCGUAUGAUAUCGUUUGCUGACAUCAAAUAACGAUUAAAGGUUUAGCGGUUAUGGAUGGGGAUGCGUCUGAUUAGCUUGUUGGCGGGGUAACGGCCCACCAAGGCGACGAUCAGUAGGGGUUCUGAGAGGAAGGUCCCCCACAUUGGAACUGAGACACGGUCCAAACUCCUACGGGAGGCAGCAGUGAGGAAUAUUGGUCAAUGGGCGAGAGCCUGAACCAGCCAAGUAGCGUGCAGGACGACGGCCCUAUGGGUUGUAAACUGCUUUUAUGUGGGGAUAAAGUGCGUGACGUGUCAUGCAUUGCAGGUACCACAUGAAUAAGGACCGGCUAAUUCCGUGC
rnacentral:rRNA from 1 species